UUUUUUUCUUUUUCUUUUUUGGCUGCCCCUUGGCUCAUGAAGUUAUUGGGCCAGGGAUCAGAUGCCCAUGCUAAAUCCUUAACCCACUGUGCUGGGCCAGGAAUCAAACCUGCGUCCCAGUGCUCCAGAGACCCUGCAGAUCCCUUUGUGACACAGUGGGAACACCAACCUAUGAAAGUUUGUGUGCAUGUGUUUUACCUUAACUUAAGAACCUAAAUGUUAACUGUUAAAUAGCUGCUAAUGUAAGCUAACAAUGAAAAGAACUCUGAGGUAGUAGCCAGGAUGCACAGUUUAUUUGCAUUACACCCUAUGCUCAUCACAAUGUAGCUUAGUUUACACAGUUAAGAAGGUAAUGAAAAGGUUAUCAUACUCACAAUAGAUAGGAAUAUGAAUCCUCAAGUGGUGACACAAAGGCAUGGAGAUAUUCAAGCAGAAAUUCAGAUUUACCGUCUAUCAGGAAUGCUGUGACGCAUGUUAAAAUUUCUCGUAAUUAAAAUUCUCACCAACUCUAGGAGCUUAUGAUUAUUUUCUAUUCUGACCUUGAGGAAAGUUGAUUUAGAACAGCUAAGAAGAGGAGUUUCUAUCGUGACUCAGUGGAAAUGAAUCUGACUAGUAUCCAUGAGGACACAGGUUUGAUCCCUGGCCUCACUCAGUGGGUUAAGGAUCUGGAGUUGCCAUGAGCUAUGGUGUAGUCCUACAGCUGUAGUUCGGAUUCAACCCCUAGCCUGGGAACCUCCAUAUGCUGCAGGUGUGGCCCUAAAAAGACAAAAGACAAAAAAAAAAGAAAAAAAAAGAACAGGUGAGAAGAAGGGAAAAAAUAGGAUCUCAUGGAUAUCGAUUCUCAAAGAGAAUAUUGCUCAAAAGCGAUGGGAGAUUUCUAAAAUUAAGAAUCUGUCCCUAACAUCUCAAAUCAUUACAUUAAGGGAGAGAGAGACAACGUGUAAACCAGUGCUACUCAAAGCAUGGUCCAGAGUGCUGAGGAGUCCCUAAAUUCCUUUCAUGUAGCUACAAAAUCAAAACUAUUUUCCUAAAAACACUAAAAUAUUUUUUGUCCUAUUUCUUAUUUGCUCAUAAUGUGUACAACGUAGUUUUGAGAAAUUAAAUGUGUGAUAUCAUUGGUGUGCUAGCCAACAAAACAAAUCCUUGUGCAUUCUUUUCAAAAAUAUUUAAGAUGGUAGCUUUCAAAUAUAAAUAUACGCACAUUUUCAGAAAUUAAUUCAGUUUGCUCUCCAUAUGUCUGUGGCCUUCCUAGCUUUCUUCACUUUAUAUCUGCUAUAAUCUCUGUAACCUUAUUAUCAUCCAUAAAUCAUUAUUUUGAAAUCUUAGAGUUUUCCUUUUGUCUACUUGUAAACAUAAAAAAAAAAAGUUGGUACACUCUGUAGUCCUGUUUUGCAAUAGCAUUUUAAAAUUUCUGCUUUAGUUUCUAAUACAGUAAAAAUCUUUGCUAUCUUCAAUAAUGUUAAAGAGUGUACAGGGAUCCUGAGACAAAGCUUGAGAAGCACUGAUCUAAAUAAACAUCGUGGUCUCUGAUGAGCACAUAAAGUUACACAAAAUCUAGAAAGAGGGGACAUUACGGCCAAACAUGAAUGCUUUGAUGAAUUGAAAAAGCUGUACAAAACUAGGGCUAAUAGUCAGGAAUGCUAAAUUCAAUAUCAAAAACUCAAUCAUUUCAGAAAAAUAAAAACUAUGAGAACUUUGCCUGGAGAUGAAGGUCCAAAGGUAAAUUGAGGUCAGAAAAAAUGUUUCCAAUAUUAUUUUUACAAUUAAAAACAACAACUUCUGUACUCAGUGGGCUUACUUUGGACCACAGGAAAAUAUAUUUAUCUACUGCUUCCUUUCCAUUAUUGCAGAAAGGUUCCACUAUGGAGUAUGCUAUCAUCUUUCUUUGUUGGUAGAACAGAGCGACAGAAUCUUAAAAAGAGAAAAGGAGGACACAAACUGUAUAUGCACAAAUGCCUAUCUUGUUUAAGUGGUUCUAGAACAUGUAACCUUUUUGGUAACUCAGAAUGCUGGAGAAUAUUUCAGUAGCAUGUUUAAAAAUCCAGGUAUUAAUGGUUAAUUGCUUAGUAACCUCCUAUUUUGGAAACAAGAUAGUUCAUAUAGUCUCUAAAUUUGUGUGUAAGACCCUUCCGAAUUCAACAUACCUUAGGGUUCUUAACACAAGUUUUACGUUAGAUUUCACAAGGUCUAUGACUAUUUCAUUAAAUUGCCUAAAAAUUGUUCGCGUGAGAAUAUAUGGGCAUUUUUCUGGGAAGAUGAGCUAUAGCAUUCAUCAGAUUCUCAAGGAAGUUUUAGUCCCAGAAAAUAUUCUUGAAACACUGCUCAUGGCUAGUGUUUAAAAUAUCAGUUAAUUGAAAAGGCUAGGUAGUUACAGCAAUUUUUUAAAAAAUUCUUUGUCAUCAGGGUCAUUUUAAUGAGGUCCAAAUUUAAGAAAUAGUCCUUUUUUAUUAUCUACAGUUUACAAAUAUAUAUCCAUAUAAGCCUAUGGAAAUACCAGUAAUGUCCUAGAUAAUUCAUUUUAAAGGAUAUUUAAAUUUCUGAAAACUGUCAAUGUUUUCAAAAUAAACAAGGCAAAUGAAUAGUAUGAAUUGUUUAAUUGGGGAUAAUGCAUAUUCUUCUAAUGUUUACCUUAUAAGAAAAUGUUUUAAGACAAUAUGGAAAGCAGUUGAUUAAAUGAAUAAGAUUUAUGAUAAAGAGCCUUUCAUUAAGUCUUAGUAUUCUUUUCUUAAAGUUUGAACAUAUCCUCUAAACCAAAAUGGGGCACUUCCUGUCUAUUUUAGCUUCAGACUUACAGUCAAACUUGUCUAUUUUUUACUCUAAUGGAAAAAUAACUAAACCUAAAUGCAUGGAAUGUCAUUUUAAACAGAGAAGAGAAUCAGGCAUUAUUAAGAAAAAUGAAUUUAUCUCACAAGCAAUAAAUAUUUUAUAACUAUAUAUGAAUAUGUCAUUUCAAAACCUUGGAUAACAGUUAUUAUUCAUAUUAAAUAUAAUGAGUUGAGAAGCCAAAUAUAUUUAAUUCUGUCAAUCUAUGCUAUAGAUAUUGUAAUAAGCUAAGAAAUCAUAGGAUAUCACUCACAUGCGGAAUCUAGGAAAAAUAUGAUGCAAAUGAACUUAUUUACAAAGAAAUAAUAGGCCCACAGACACAGAAAACAAAUUAUGGUUACCAAAGGGGAAGGGGGAAGCAUAAAUUAGGAGUUUGUGAUUAACAUAUACAUACUACUAUAUAUAAUAUAGAUAACCAGCAAGGACCUAUUGUAUAGCAUAGGGAACUCUACUCAAUAUUUUGUAAUAAGCUAUAAGGUUAAAGAAUCUGAAAAAAGAAUAGAUGCAUGUAUAUGUUUAACCGAACCACAUUGUUGUACACCUGAAGCUAACACAACACUGUAAAGCAACUAUACUUUAAUAAAAAUUAAAUUUAAUUAAUUUUUUAAUGUUUUUAAAAUGACAUAAAAGAACAAAGUUUGGAGGACAUAUUUCUCAGCAGUAGGUUCAACCAUACAUAACAGGAAAAGUUAAAUAAUAGGGAUUUAAUAAGAAGUUUUUCUUUCAUUGAAAGAAUCCAGAGAGCUAGGCAACCCAGGACUUAUGAACUGACUUUUCAAAAGAUUUCAGGUCCUUCCAGCUUUCCUUUCUCCCAUCCCUGGGAUGUGGUCCUUGCCUCAGGUUUCAAGGAGACUGCACUCAGCAGGGUGAGCACAGAAUGAAAAAGGCAUCCCUCCUUUAAAGAGAACUUCCAUGAGUCCUUCACAACACCUCUAGUUCCAUUCAUUAGCCAGAAUUCCAAAAUCAUCCAUUGUGGUAAACAGAACGGCUCCCCCAAAACGCCCAACCCCAAUCCCUGGAAUUUGUGAAUAUGUUAAGUUGCAUGGCAAACAGGACUUUUCCAACAUAAUUAAGGUCACAGACCUUAAAAUAGGGAGAUUAUUAAAGUGGGGCCAAUUUAACCAUAUGAGCAGUUAAAAGUGGAGAACUUUCUCUAACUGGAGGCAAAAGGAAGCAAUGGCAUAAGAGGAAGUCAGAGACAUUCCCAGCAUGACUCAACACACACAUCUCUGUUGGCCCUGAGAUGUAGGGACCCACAUGCAACCAUCAGUGAGAGGCCUCUAGGGGCUAAGUGUAGCCUGAAGCUGACAGCCAGCAAGGAAACAGGGUUCCCAUCCUACAAAUUCAAGACACUAGUUUCUGCCAACAGCCUGAGCGAAUUUGGAUGUGAAUUCCUCCCAAAGUCAUCCAAAGAGAGCACAGCCACUGACACCUUGAUUUUGUCUUUGUAAAAUCCAGGGUAGAGAAACUAGGCAAGCUAUCCCAGACUUUUGAACUGCAGAACCAAGAUAUAACAAAUUUAUGUUAUUCUAAACUACUACAUGUGUGCUUAUUUGUUACAGCAGCCAUAGAAAACAAAUACACGAGGUCACACCCAGCAGCAAUAAAGGUCAGGAAAUAAGGUCUUCUAACCAGGUGGCUGUACAUGCAGCUGAAACCUCCAGGUCAAUUUGGAAAAGAAUGAGGAGAAUGUGUAUUUGUUUAACAGCUAGUCUCCACCAUUGGAGAAUUAAUGAAAAAGGGAGGACUAAAGCAGGUUUAGUAUUUUUAGUAUUAAUUGAAUAUAGCUCUCAAAGAGGUUCAAAAUGAUUAAGGACCUUUCAAAAUAUCCAACUCUUUACUUCUAAUGUUGCCAUUUAACGUGCUAUGCCUUUACCACUGAAUGCAAGGUGAUGUGAUCAAAGCUCUCUCAUCUCUCAUGUAUGGGACUGGCAAUGGUCAGUUAUCAAUUUUCUAAAAAAUCACUUACAUUGGGGAAUCAUAAUAAAAAUUACAUACCUUUAAGAUUUUAUUUUAGUUCAAACAAGCAUGUACAUUCAUGGGCAAAUCUGUUUAUGUAGAGUCUGGUCCAUUCUUCAAAUUUAUGGCAAAUAAUGGCUUUCUCACACUCUUUCUAAAAUCUGUUUCCUUAAAGCAAAAACUUAAACUUGCAAUAAAAUCUGAGCACAUAAUCCCUCUAAAGUUUCUUUAGAAACCCAUCUCUUCCAAAACUAAUUCAUUAUCAUUGCUUUUAUCUGCACACCUGUAGGCUUCACAAAAUACUAUCCAACUUCAUUUUUUACAACUUUCAUUUACUUUGCACACAUAUUUCAUAAGUGCAUGGCAAUACUUUAUUAAAAUAUACAACCCAUGGAGUUCCUUUUGUGGCUCUGUGGUAAUGAACCUGACUGGUUUACAUGAGGAUGUGAGUUCCCUCUCUGGCCCCACUAAGUGGGUUAGGGAUCCGGCAUUGCCCUGAGCUGUGGCAUAGGUCACAGAUGCGGCUUGGAUCCCACGUUGCUGUGGCUGUGGUGUAGGCUGGCAGCUGCAGUACCCAUUCUACCCCCAGCCUGGGAACUUCCAUAUGCUGCAGGUGUGAGCCUAAAAAGCAAUAAAUAAAUAAAUAAUAAAACCCCAAUAAUAAGUACUAUUUGCCUGUGCAGGUUUGGUUGUUGAUGAUGCAAAAGAAGUGAGGGGGAGUGUACUAGACUGUACCAAUGCUUGGACAUUCUCCGUGGAGUAGUGUAAGUCAGUAUAUUUGCAAAGGGAAUAGAGAGUAAUCCUAAAUUAGGUGGGUUAGUUAAAAAGAGGAGGAUAAAGGAGUUCCCGUUGUGGCGCAGUGGUUAAUGAAUCCGACUAGGAACCAUGCGGUUGCGGGUUCAGUCCCUGCCCUUGCUCAGUGGGUUAAGGAUCUGGCGUUGCCGUGAGCUGUGGUGUAGGUUGCAGAUGCAGCUCGGAUCCCGUGUUGCUGUGGCUCCGGGUAGGCCAGCAGUUCCAGAUCCGAUUGGACCCCUAGCCUGGGAACCUCCAUGUGCCGCGGGAGUGGCCC
rnacentral:lncRNA from 1 species